rnacentral:rRNA from 1 species
UACGUAGGGGGGCGAGCGUUGUCCGAAGUUACUGGGCGUAAAGCGCGCGUAGGCGGUUCUCUAAGUCUGAGGUGAAAGGUUCGGCGCUCAACGUGAACAGUGCCUUGGAGACUGGGGGGACUUGAGUGUGGGAGGGGGCAGUGGAAUUCCGGGUGUAGCGGUGAAAUGCGUAGAUAUCAUUUGGAACGCCAAUGGUGAAAACAGGUAGCUGGGGAUGUGCUGACGCUGAGACACGAAAGCCAGGGGAGCAAACGGG